CUGCGCUAAGAACUGAGGCAGCUGCACUUCCGCAGACGUAAGAGACGAACUCCUGGAGCUCAAGGUCGGCUGGGGUUGGGUUCCUGUCCCGCACGCGUGGCCCGCCCGAAACCCGCUACAUAGUGGCGCGUCAGCCUGCGACCUGCGACGGGCGCACAAACCAGAGAGGCGGCGCGGGGCGGGGAGGGAAGCAGGAGGGUCGCGAGGCCCGCAGCCAAUCCCGGGAAGACUCUGGGCAAGGGCGGGGCGCGCAGCCGAUCCCCUGGAGAGGUCGGGUAGCUCAGCCAAUCCCGGGAAGAUCCUGAGCGGGGCGGGGUGGAG
rnacentral:lncRNA from 1 species